rnacentral:rRNA from 1 species
UACGUAGGGUGCGAGCGUUGUCCGGAAUUAUUGGGCGUAAAGAGCUUGUAGGCGGUUUGUCGCGUCUGCCGUGAAAAUCCGGGGCUCAACUCCGGACUUGCGGUGGGUACGGGCAGACUAGAGUGUGGUAGGGGAGACUGGAAUUCCUGGUGUAGCGGUGAAAUGCGCAGAUAUCAGGAGGAACACCGAUGGCGAAGGCAGGUCUCUGGGCCACUACUGACGCUGAGAAGCGAAAGCGUGGGGAGCGAACAGGAUUAGAUACCCUGGUAGUCCACGCCGUAAACGUUGGGAACUAGGUGUGGGUCUCAUUCCACGAGAUCCGUGCCGCAGCUAACGCAUUAAGUUCCCCGCCUGGGGAGUACGGCCGCAAGGCUAAA